UACGUAGGCAGCGAGCGUUGUUCGGAGUUACUGGGCGUAAAGGGUGUGUAGGCGGUUGUUUAAGUUUGGUGUGAAAUCUCCCGGCUCAACUGGGAGGGUGCGCCGAAUACUGAAUGACUAGAGUGCGGGAGAGGAAAGUGGAAUUCCUGGUGUAGCGGUGAAAUGCGUAGAUAUCAGGAGGAACACCGGUGGUGUGGACGGCUUUCUGGACCGUAACUGACGCUGAGACACGAAAGCGUGGGUAGCAAACAGG
rnacentral:rRNA from 1 species